GGAAGUGCUUCCUCCGACGGGCGUCGGAGGAGUGGGACCUGUGUGCAAAUCGUUCCUCCGACGCCGGAAGUGACGUAGUCGCGUCGGAGGAAAGACGGCUGUGUGGAAAUCGUUCCUUCGACGCCGGAAGUAACGUAUCAUCCCCGGCCCCGGAUGUUGCCUUUGUUAUGACAUGUGGCCGACCAUGUGCGUCUGCCGCUGUAGUCACUGUAGUCUUCUGUGGUCGGGUCCUGGCCGCGCUGCUGUCGGCUCCGGUCACGCAAGCUAUUUUGACUGAUUUUUCGCACUCUUUGAAGCGUUUUGUUUAGCAUUGUCUUGUUCUUUUUAGCAAUACAUUUUUCCGUAUCUAGUGCUACUCUUUGUAUUUUAGCUUUGAUCGCACCCCCAACGUGCCUCGAGUUUUGGUAGCCGGCGAUUCGAUGGUGAAGUACUUGCCAUUGAAUAGUCGGUUGGCUGUUGAGGUUGCGCCGUUUAGUGGUAUUAGAAUCGAGCACUUGUUUUCCCAGGUGUCUGAGAAGCUACCCGAUUUUGAUGUUGUCAUCCUACACGUUGGCACUAAUAAUUCCCAUAUUAGUGCCAGCGUGUACAUCGACAAAUAUCGUCGUCUAGCUGCCCAGAUCUGUGAACGCAAUCCAGUGAUGCAGAUCGCCUUUUCUGCCGUUCUUCCGAGACGGGAGAAUAGGUUCUGCUCAUUGGAAUGGCAGCGUAGUCACGCUGCAGAGAUCGAGGCUUCGAAUGACCGUUACCGAGAGGUGAACUCGCUGCUGCGAGAGUUGUGUCGCAGGGAAGGGUUCACGUUCCUUGACGGGCUAGCUGACGAGUGGCACCAGUGGAUCCACCGCGACGGCGUCCACCCAAACCGGAUCGGCAACAAGGUCCUCGCUGGGUUCAUGGGCCAGCAAGUAUGGAGCAUCCUGGAGAAGAUGGCCAUGCAGGGCCAAGAUCCAGCAGGACCACAAGGAGGCAAUGCCAGGGACCCGCUCGUGGGACGGCUGGACCAUCAAGGGUGCCCUAUUGACCGCGCCAUGUUGUCUCUUCAGAAUUCUCCGACUUUUCCAGCAAAGUUUUGUUAAUCUGACGACAUAGUCUUUCUAAGAGGCUGGGGAUAUUAUAGCAAAAAGUUUGUGGGCCUCACAUCUGGUAACAAGAAGGCUCCAAAAACAAGGCCCCUUGAAAACUGAGCAAGUUGCUACUUGUGUAAAUUGGCUCUGAAGAAACCAACAACUAGGCGCUGCACAGUCCGAUGAUUCUUUCCGAGUCUGAAGUGCUUCGAGGGAAUCGGAAUUUUGUGUUAUAAUGUGAAUAAACUGUUCUGCAUUGCAAA